GGAGUGCAGAAUUAUUAGGCAAAUGAGUAUUUUGACCACAUCAUCCUCUUUAUGCAUGUUGUCUUACUCCAAGCUGUAUAGGCUCGAAAGCCUACUACCAAUUAAGCAUAUUAGGUAAUGUGCAUCUCUGUAAUGAGAAGGGGUGUGGUCUAAUGACAUCAACACCCUAUAUCAGGUGUGCAUAAUUAUUAGGCAACUUCCUUUCCUUUGGCAAAAUGGGUCAAAAGAAGGACUUGACAGGCUCAGAAAAGUCAAAAAUAGUGAGAUAUCUUGCAGAGGGAUGCAGCACUCUUAAAAUUGCAAAGCUUCUGAAGCGUGAUCAUCGAACAAUCAAGCGUUUCAUUCAAAAUAGUCAACAGGGCCGCAAGAAGCAUGUGGAAAAGCCAAGGCGCAAAAUAACUGCCCAUGAACUGAGAAAAGUCAAGCGUGCAGCUGCCACGAUGCCAUUUGCCACCAGUUUGGCCAUAUUUCAGAGCUGCAACAUCACUGGAGUGCCCAAAAGCACAAGGUGUGCAAUACUCAGAGACAUGGCCAAGGUAAGAAAGGCUGAAAGACGACCACCACUGACCAAGACACACAAGCUGAAACGUCAAGACUGGGCCAAGAAAUAUCUCAAGACUGAUUUUUCUAAGGUUUUAUGGACUGAUGAAAUGAGAGUGAGUCUUGAUGGGCCAGAUGGAUGGGCCCGUGGCUGGAUUGGUAAAGGGCAGAGAGCUCCAGUCCGACUCAGAUGCCAGCAAGG